GACAGAGGAGGCAAGCGUUAUCCGGAAUUAUUGGGCUUAAAGGGCGCGUAGGCGGUGAUACAAGUCUGAGGUGGAAUUCAUAAGCUUAACUUAUGGACUGCCUUAGAAACUGUAUUACUUGAGUCGGCUAGGGGGAGGCGGAAUUCCUGGUGUAGCGGUGAAAUGCGUAGAUAUCAGGAGGAAGGCCUGUGGCGAAGGCGGCCUUCUGGGGCUUGACUGACACUGAGGCGCGAAAGCGUGGGGAGCAAACAGG
rnacentral:rRNA from 1 species